AUGACAAAAAUAUAAUGCAAAAUGUGUUCUUGCAUGUCAUUGGGAAUUUUUACGUGGGUAUAUGGAAAUCUUGGAUCUUACUUAGUGGGUAUACUGCAUACACCUGCGGAUCACGUAGACUACACCACU